UACGUAGGGCGCAAGCGUUGUCCGGAAUUAUUGGGCGUAAAGAGCUCGUAGGCGGCUUGUCACGUCGAUUGUGAAAGCCCGGGGCUUAACUCCGGGUCUGCAGUCGAUACGGGCUAGCUAGAGUGUGGUAGGGGAGAUCGGAAUUCCUGGUGUAGCGGUGAAAUGCGCAGAUAUCAGGAGGAACACCGGUGGCGAAGGCAGCACUCUGGGACGUGACUGACGCUGAGACGCGAAAGCGUGGGGAGCAAACAGG
rnacentral:rRNA from 1 species